rnacentral:rRNA from 1 species
UACGUAGGAGGCGAGCGUGUCCGGAUUCACUGGGCGUAAAGGGCGCGUAGGCGGCGGCUUGAGUCCCUGCGUGAAAUCUCCCGGCUCAACUGGGAGGUGCGCCGAAUACUGAAUGACUUGGAGUGCGGGAGAGGAGAGUGGAAUUCCCGGUGUAGUGGAUGGAAUGCGUAGAUAAUCGGGAGGAACAGCCAGUGGCGAAGCGGCGUCCUGGACCGGCACUGACGCGUGAG